rnacentral:rRNA from 1 species
AGCGUAUAUUAAAGUUGUUGCAGUUAAAAAGCUCGUAGUUGAAUUUCGGGGUCAGUAGGUCGGUCGUGCCACUGGUAUGAACUGGUUUUACUGAUUCCUCCCUCUUGAAGAACUGUAAUGCCAUUAAUUUGGUGUUGCAGGGAAUCAGGACUGUUACUUUGAAAAAAUUAGAGUGUUCAAAGCAGGCUUUAGCUUGAAUACAUUAGCAUGGAAUAAUGAAAUAGGACGUUUGAUCCUAUUUUGUUGGUUUCUAGGAUUGACGUAAUGAUUAAUAGGGAUAGUUGGGGGCAUUAGUAUUCAAUUGUCAGAGGUGAAAUUCUUGGAUUUAUUGAAGACUAACUACUGCGAAAGCAUUUGCCAAGGAUGUUUUCAUUAAUCAAGAACGAAAGUUAGGUGAUCGAAGACGAUCAGAUACCGUCGUAGUCUUAACCAUAAAC